GACGAACGCUGGCGGCGUGCCUAAUACAUGCAAGUCGAACGCUUCUUUCCUCCCGAGUGCUUGCACUCGAUUGGAAAGAGGAGUGGCGGACGGGUGAGUAACACGUGGGUAACCUACCCAUCAGAGGGGGAUAACACUUGGAAACAGGUGCUAAUACCGCAUAACAGUUUAUGCCGCAUGGCAUAAGAGUGAAAGGCGCUUUCGGGUGUCGCUGAUGGAUGGACCCGCGGUGCAUUAGCUAGUUGGUGAGGUAACGGCUCACCAAGGCCACGAUGCAUAGCCGACCUGAGAGGGUGAUCGGCCACACUGGGACUGAGACACGGCCCAGACUCCUACGGGAGGCAGCAGUAGGGAAUCUUCGGCAAUGGACGAAAGUCUGAUCGAGCAACGCCGCGUGAGUGAAGAAGGUUUUCGGAUCGUAAAACUCUGUUGUUAGAGAAGAACAAGGACGUUAGUAACUGGACGUCCCCUGACGGUGUCUAACCAGAAAGCCACGGCUAACUACGUGCCAGCCGCCGCGGUAA
rnacentral:rRNA from 1 species